CAUCUUUAACUUUUAAUUUUUUGUUUAUUUUUUAUAAGGGUUAAUUAUAUGCAGCUAUUUGUAAAUAUAGCGAAUUACAAAUAUAUUCAUGCACAGUUUAUUUCCUUAUAUUAUUCCAACAAAAGUUCUAAUAUUUUCAAAUAUGUCCCUACUGAAUCCGUUGGAAAAUUUUAAUUAACUAUAGUUAAAAUACUUACUCUUGGUUAGUCAAUUAGAUAAAUUGACAUUUUUAUCCUUCUCAUAUUAUAUUCUUCCAAUCAAAACUUUAGCAAUGAAAACUCGUUUUCUUAUUCUUCCUCUUCUUCUUUCUUUUUCUCCUUCAUGCUAGGUUCGAACACUUAACUAGAAUUUCUCCGUCCUCAUUCAUCCACGACACCAGUUACUUCGCCCACGUCGAACCCGUGUUGCUUUCCCAUUCAAUUUCUUUUAUAUUUUUUUUGAUUUUGCUAAAAAAAAGGUUUAAGAGAAAAUAAGUGAGAGAAGAGGUUGCAAUAAUGGUGGAUUAGGCUGAGUUUUAAAGAGUAAGAAGAUGAGAAAGAAAAUAACUAUUGAAAAUUUUUUGAAAAUAUAUUUCUACAUGACUACAGUAGUUAGGGCUUUUGGCAUGACAUAUUUAUGAUGGUAAAAUUGAAAUUUCACUUAUCUGUGUUAAAAAAUAGGGUUAAUUGUAUACAUCUUUCUGCAAAUAUAGCGAAUUAUAAAUAUAUCCUUAUAAAGUUUAAUUUUCUUAUAUUAUCCCUAUAAAAGUACAGCGAUAUUCAUAUUUGUCCAUCUACUUUGUUACCGUUAGACAACUAUUUAUUUUUUGAUAGUAGAUAAGUGAAAUGUCAAUUUUGCCAUAAAAAAUAUGUCCUUCUAAAAGCCCCAAUUGCUAUAAUCGUGCAGAAAUAUCCCGCCAAAAUAUUUUUAAUGGUCAUCUUUUUUCUCAUCUUCUUUCUCUUUAAAACCAACCCAAUCCACCAUUAUUGCAAUAUUUUCUCUCACUUUUUUUCUCCUAAACUUUUUCUUUUGAACAAAAUAAAAAAAAAUUACAAAAAAAAUCGAAUGAGGAAGCAACAUGCGCUCAACAUAGGCGAAACAACACACGUCGUGGAUGUAUGGGGAUGCAUAAAUUCUAGUUACAGGUUUAAAGCUAGCAUGAAGAAGAGAGAAGAAAAGGUAGAGGAAGAGAAAGAAGAAGAAGGGUUUCCAUUACUUGGGUUUUGAUUGAGAGAAGAAGGCAUAAUAUAAGAGAGGUAAAAAUAUCAAUUUACCUUAUUAACUAAUCAGGAUUAAGUAUUUAAUUAUAGUUAACUAAAUAUUUCUAACGGAUUCUAAUGGUGUGGACAUAUUUAAAAAUAUUAGAACUUUUACAGAGAUAACAUGAGAAAGUUAAAUUUUAUAGGAAUAUAUUUAUAAUUCGCUAUAUUUAUAAGGACCAAUAUGCAAUUAACCGAAAAAAUAAAUAGUUCGAAUAUCAAUGGACUUUUGCAGGAAUAACAUAAAAAAGUUGAACUUUGUAGUAAUAUAUAUUCAAUUCGCUAUGUUUACAGAGAGCUUUAUGCAAUUAACCCUUUUUAUAAUUAACUAAGCCAAAAAUGUU
rnacentral:lncRNA from 1 species